AGUGAACGCUGGCGGCAGGCCUAACACAUGCAAGUCGAACGGCAGCACAAGAGAGCUUGCUCUCUGGGUGGCGAGUGGCGGACGGGUGAGGAAUGCAUCGGAAUCUGCCCAUUUGUGGGGGAUAACCUCGGGAAACCGGGACUAAUACCGCAUACGACCUACGGGUGAAAGCAGGGGAUCUUCGGACCUUGCGCAGAUGGAUGAGCCGAUGCCGGAUUAGCUAGUUGGAGGGGUAAAGGCCCACCAAGGCGACGAUCCGUAGCUGGUCUGAGAGGAUGAUCAGCCACACUGGAACUGAGACACGGCCCAGACUCCUACGGGAGGCAGCAGUGGGGAAUGUUGGACAAUGGGCGCAAGCCUGAUCCAGCCAUGCCGCGUGUGUGAAGAAGGCCUUCGGGUUGUAAAGCACUUUUGUUGGGAAAGAAAAGCAGCCGGUUAAUACCCGGUUGUCAUGACGGUACCCAAAGAAUAAGCACCGGCUAACUUCGUG
rnacentral:rRNA from 1 species